UGACGUUACCAAACUGUUGCCUCGGCGGGGUCACGCCCCGGGUGCGUCGCAGCCCCGGAACCAGGCGCCCGCCGGAGGAACCAACCAAACUCUUUCUGUAGUCCCCUCGCGGACGUAUUUCUUACAGCUCUGAGCAAAAAUUCAAAAUGAAUCAAAACUUUCAACAACGGAUCUCUUGGUUCUGGCAUCGAUGAAGAACGCAGCGAAAUGCGAUAAGUAAUGUGAAUUGCAGAAUUCAGUGAAUCAUCGAAUCUUUGAACGCACAUUGCGCCCGCCAGUAUUCUGGCGGGCAUGCCUGUCCGAGCGUCAUUUCAACCCUCGAACCCCUCCGGGGGAUCGGCGUUGGGGAUCGGGACCCCUCACACGGGUGCCGGCCCCGAAAUACAGUGGCGGUCUCGCCGCAGCCUCUCCUGCGCAGUAGUUUGCACAACUCGCACCGGGAGCGCGGCGCGUCCACGUCCGUAAAACACCCAACUUUCUGAAAUGUUGACCUCGGAUCAGGUAGGAAUACCCGCUGAACUUAAGCAUAUCAAUAAGCGGAGGA
rnacentral:rRNA from 1 species